GUUCCCUUCUCACCAAAAACACCAACGGCAAGCACUAUGUAUGGUUAAAGAAUCAUUCGUACACGCAACAAUCACGAACCCAAGAGAUGGUAUUUUAGUCUUCAAAAUAAUGUCCUAGACCACAACAACAAUAGCUAGAAACACACAGAAACUACCAUAGUGAUACAAAAGAAAGAAAUGGGUACCUACAAUAGGAGGAGGAGAAAUCAUUUUGUCAACACUGGCUACAUGUUAAAUAUUUUGAAAAACUAGACAUCAUUUUCUUGUUCUUCUUGUGGUGGUCAAAAAUCUAAACUCAGCCGGGACAGACACCCCAAAGCCAAGUCCAGACCAAAAAAGCCCAAAUUAUGCCAUCACUACUGGCACGACAUUCUCUCAUCAAUGGACCAAUGCACAAAUGUACCAAACCCUUAAUACGUUCUCUGACCUUGCAAAGACCAGGUCAAUCUUCAACGCUCACAAUGCGAAUAUUUAGAAUUGCCUUCAAAAAUUAAGCGACGUGGCUUUGCCUAAUUCUCAAUCGCACACCUUCAAAAGAGAAGAGAUGCUGGGUCACGUCAUGGGGCACGUCAGUCACCUGUAAAACGGACUCCAAUUCUCUUCAAACAAAUUCGUUAACUUGCAAUCAAACCCGAUACCUCUCUUUGUUGUAAAAUACGUAUAUAUUUUCUUUUACGCAACUCAUUCUUUUGUAUUUGCUGCUCUGAAGCACCAUCUGACUUAUACAAGCUCCGUAACGUAUCAAUCAAAUAAAAAUAUCUUUACUGCUUUAUCUUUUGUCAUUUAUUUUUGCUCCAUUGAAUCUUGCAAUUUUUUCGUUUGAUCUGCAUUUUAAACGAUAUUAGUGCAUAUUUGGUAGAACAAUAUCAGUGCAGAUCUCGUUAUUCCUUGGAUAAUAAAAAUUAAUGUGUAGGUAUGAGCAAAUAUGCAUACAUGCGCGCACACAAAUUUAGUGUUUGAUUGAAGAUCUUCCACCAAGGGCGGUGGCACCCUCUUGAGGAGACAAAGUUUGGCUAUGGAGGUAUAAGAGAAGAUCCACAUUAAUCGGCAAACAGUGUUAUAAGAUUUUCUUAUCUUUUACAAUAUUCACAAAUUGGAUGGCCGCAACCCCCCAACACAAUUAAAAGAAAUGUCAACAAUUUGGUCUUUUGGAUUAUAUGAAAUGUAACCAAACCCAUGCCACAAUCUUCUUCACUUGGAUAGAAUCUUCUCAGUUCCCUCAUGCACCCGCACGUUCCAAACAAUUUACUGAUACGCAUGCAGGUGACGCAGAGCGGAUCAAUGGACGAAUAGUGCACUAACUGGGAGGAAAACAAGUUGAGCAAGAAGAAGUUCUCAUGCGCGGCUGCGCGAGCGACCCCCAACGUGCACUUGAGCGCGCAAGUGCUACAAAAGUCUGCCAGAUGUGCGCGGUCAUUCUCCCAGGUGCGCGGCCGCACAACUCCAUCUCCGGGAAUUUGACCCAAGCCUAUUUUUGUAAUUUUAGAGGCAGCCUUUUGACCUAUAUAAAGCCUAGCCCGUCCCAGAACAAGGUAAUUGGAUUUUGGAGCAAAUUUUGGAGAGAAGAAGGAAAAAAAAAACAACAUAGACUCUGAAUACUUCAUCUGAAUCAUUCAAUACGAAAGUUUGUUCGAAUUCGUAGGUUGUAAUAUUUUCUUUUUCUCUUAAUACUGUUGUGGUGAUACACUUCUUUACUAUGGAGUAAUCUUUCUUAGGGCUACUGACAAAUAUUGUGA